AAUGCAUGAUGAGGGUAUUUUCCGAGCAUUUCCUUAAAUCUUUCCCAACUCUCAUAAUUGGAUUCUACUUCAAAUUGAGUAAAAGAACUUAUAUCAUUUCUAUGUAU